CAUCUUUCGGCUAACCUAGCCUCCUCCGUCCCUCGGGACCAACAAGGGGCAGUACAGGAAUAUUCACCUAUUGUCCAUCGACUAUGCCUUUCGGCCUGAUCUUAGGCCUUCACUCACCCUCCGUGGACAAACCUUGCGGAGGAACCCUUAGGUUUUCGGGGCAUUGGAUUCUCACCAAUGUUUGCGUUACUCAAGCCGACAUUCUCGCUUCCGUUUUGUCCAUCACCGCUCGUGCGGAGGGUUCUCUCUAAGGCGGAAUGCUCCCGUACCGAUGUAUUUUUACAUCCCACAACUUCGGCAGAUCGCUUAGCCCCGUUCAUAUUCGGCACAAGAGCACUCGAUUAGUGAGCUAUUACGCACUCUUUCAAGGGUGGCUGCUUCUAGGCAAACCUCUUGGCUGUCUCUGCACCCCUACCUACUUUAUCACUGAGCGAUCAUUUAGGGACCUUAGCUGGUGAUCCGGGCUGUUUCCCUCUCGACGAUGAAGCUUAUCCCCCAUCGUCUCACUAGCCGACCUUGACCCCUGUUAUUUUGAGGUCAUAUCUAGUAUUCAGAGUUUACCUCGAUUUGGUACCGCUCUCGCGGCCCGCACCAAAAUAGUG
rnacentral:lncRNA from 1 species